rnacentral:rRNA from 1 species
UACGAAGGGGGCUAGCGUUGCUCGGAAUUACUGGGCGUAAAGGGCGCGUAGGCGGCCCUGUUAGUCAGGCGUGAAAGUCCUGGGCUCAACCUGGGAACUGCGCUUGAUACGGCAGAGCUAGAGGAUGGAAGAGGGUCGCGGAAUUCCCAGUGUAGAGGUGAAAUUCGUAGAUAUUGGGAAGAACACCGGUGGCGAAGGCGGCGACCUGGUCCAUUACGGACGCUGAGGCGCGACAGCGUGGGGAGCAAACAGG